GAUCCUGGCUCAGGAUAAACGCUAGCGGCAGGCCUAACACAUGCAAGUCGAGGGGGCAUAGGAUAGAGUACUUCGGUACUCUUGCCGGCGACCGGCGGACGGGUGCGUAACGCGUAUGCAACCUACCUUCAACAGGGGGGUAAUCCGAAGAAAUUUGGUCUAAUACCCCAUAAUAUUCCGACAGGCAUCUGUCGGAGUUGAAAGCUUCGGUGGUUGGAGAUGGGCAUGCGUUGUAUUAGCUAGAUGGUGAGG
rnacentral:rRNA from 1 species